GGGGAGCCGUGUGCACUCUGCAGGAAGCGAGGGAGACGAGAGCUGAACAGUGUCGAGUGAACGCAGAGUUUAUAGAAGGGCGACAGACAUAUUUUCGGAUUGACGGAUAGUUGACUGGAGUGAAAGCUGUUGUACCCUACUGUGAGUAGGAGGAGACGGACGUCUUGCUGGCGUGUCAGAGAGGUCCCUUCUGCUGGUGUGCUGAAGUUAUAUGUUCACGUGGGAGCACGUGGAGAGGACGACUGAGUGCUGCUGCCGCGCCUGCUGGUAGCAUUGACCCAGUUUCCCCUGCUAUCCCCUUGAACUGCUUGGAGGUAGACUUUAUCACAUUCAUCAUGUCGCUCUCUGCACUGGUACCGCUGCUGCUGCUCGUCUGUAGUGUCCAGGCUAAUUUUUACAGUAUAGUGGUGAACUACUACCCAAGUGGCAAUGAUUCAACAGGAUCUUCCACUGGCAUUCUUUAUUACAAGUUGGGCUACAGCUUCUGCUUGAACAGUGUGCCCUACUACAUCGACGGUCAGCCACUUGUGCUACAAAAGGUCGAUGAGCCGAUAAAUGGAGAGUGGUGCCAAACUGAAGGAGUCAUCUCUAAGUAUUUUUCCAGCAACUCUAUGUUUUCAAUUCCGGCCUCUGGCAUAGACUGGAUCUUUGGCAUCAAAAAUGGCAUCGUAUCAUUUCAAAUUCAGGCUCUGGUGGAACUGAGGAUCCGCUCUGACAUCGGCAAAGCCAACACAUCACCACAGACCACUAUCAUACCAGCUAUCAGAGUUCCAUCAAACUGUCCAAGAAAUCUGAGCCUGUUGAUGUUUGAUCCUGAUGGAGACAUAGUGAAAUGCAGAAAUGGAGAUGCAUCACUCUCAGAGUGUAGGCCCUGCACACCACCAUCUGUUCUCAGCCUUUCACCAUCCUCUUGUACUCUGUCAUUCAGCCCCACGAACAGCAGUGAUGAAGGUCCGUAUGCGGUACAGCUGAUGAUAGAGGACUUUCCCAGACAGAACAUAACGUUGACUCAAACCAACGGGACACAAACAAUAAUAACAACCAACGACGCUAUCAGCAAAAUGCCAGUUCAGUUUGUCGUGAGAGUGGAUCCUGCAGCACCAUCGUGCACAGAGGGACUCUUUCUACCCAUGUUCCUGCCUCCAACCCCAGCCCACAGAACCCAGCUCUACACCAACGUCAAUCAGACUCUGGCUAUCAGCAUCAAGGCACAGACACUUAACUCCACGAUCUCUGAGCUGCUGUUCAGCGCGCCGCACACAGUAACUGAAAGUCAAACAGGCCCAGGAGAGUUCACACUGACGUGGACGCCAUCUGACUCAGUAGCUGGACAAAGCCACCCCAUUUGUUUUGUUGUCCAAGCAGUUUUAGGAGCAGCCAAGUACCACUCUGAGCUUCGAUGUGUCAUUGCGACCGUUAGAAAAGCAUCGCCAACUACAUCACCCAAUACACCAGAGUAUGUUGCAGCUCUGAAAAUGAAGUUGUCUUCUACAGUGGACUUGUCUCAAAUCAAUAGGGAUGUCUUCUUAAAUCAGAUUAAACAGAAACUGGAGUCAUAUGGACUGCCUGAUGACGUCAGUCUGCGCCUCAUAAACAGUGUGCCACAGAUUGGCGUAACUGCAGCGUCCUCUAAUUCUACAAGAUGAACCUGAAGUCCUGCAUCUGCAUGCUCUAUCUUCACUCUUUCUGUACCAAUUGGAAACAUCUGUGUGGAAAGAUAAUACAAAAUCUUACUUAUCACGCAUAAUUUUGCAUUCAACCUGUCUGUCAUAAAAAUUGGUGAUAAAACAUUAUUUGAAGUAGUGUUAAAUUUUUAAAGGAAUCAUUCAAGAUUUGUAAUGUGUGUAAUAUGGGUCUAGAUAAUUCUAUUUCUUAUACUCUCAGUAUAUAUACAUGCUUUUCUGGCGUCAUAAAGUAGUUCUUCCACAUCUUAGCAAUCAGCAGUUAGAAAAAAAUCAAACAAACAAAAAACAGUAAGAUUUUUGAAAACAAUUUUUUUUUCUACAAAAUAAGUCAAACGUUUUUCUUUUUCUCUAAUACAUACAGUGGCUUGCAAAAGUAUGCGGCCCCCUUGAACUUUUCCACAUUUUGUCACAUUACAGCCACAAACAUUAAUCAAUUUUAUUGGAAUUCCACGUGAAAGACCAAUACAAAGUGGUGUACAAGUGAGAAGUGGAACCAAAAUAAUACAUGAUUCCAAACAUUUUUUACAAAUAAAUAACUGAAAUUCUUGCCAUUCUAACACAUGGAUAUGUUUUGUUUUAAACCAUUCCAUUGUUGCCCUGACUUUAUGUUUAUGGUCGUUGUCCUGCUGGAAGGUGAACCUCCGCCCCAGUCUCAAGUCUUUUGCAGACUCCAAGAGGUUUUCUUCCAAAAUUGCCCUGUAUUUGGCUCCAUCCAUUUUCCCAUCAACUCUGACCAGCUUCCCUGUCCCUGCUGAAGAGAAGCACCCCCAGAGCAUGAUGCUGCCACCACCAUAUUUGACAGUGGGGAUGGUGUGUUCAGAGUGAUGUGCAGUGUUAGUUUUCCGCCACACAGAGCGUUUUGCAUUUUGGCCACAAAGUUCCAUUUUGGUCUCAUCUGACCAGAGCACCUUCUUCCACAUGUUUGCUGUGUCCCCCACAUGGCUUGUGGCAAACUGCAAACGGGACUUCUUAUGGUUUUCUGUUAACAAUGGCUUUCUUCUUGCCACUCUUCCAUAAAGGCCAACUUUGUGCAGUGCACGACUAAUAGUUGUCCUAUGGACAGAUUCCCCCACCUGAGCUGUAGAUCUCUGCAGCUCGUCCAGAGUCACCAUGGGCCUCUUGGCUGCAUUUCUGAUCAGCGCUCUCCUUGUUCGGCCUGUGAGUUUAGGUGGACGGCCUUGUCUUGGUAGGUUUACAGUUGUGCCAUACUCCUUCCAUUUCUGAAUGAUUGCUUGAACAGUGCUACGUGGGAUGUUCAAGGCUUGGGAAAUCUUUUUGUAGCCUAAGCCUGCUUUAAUUUUCUCAAUAACUUUGUCCCUGACCUGUCUGGUGUGUUCUUUGGACUUCAUGGUGUUGUUGCUCCCAAUAUUCUCUUAGACAACCUCUCAGGCUGUCACAGAGCAGCUGUAUUUGUACUGACAUUAGAUUACACACAGGUGUACUCUAUUUAGUCAUUAGCACUCAUCAGGCAAUGGCUGUGUCCGAAUUCAGGGGAAGGAUGCUUAAAAUGCCAUAUUUGGAGGCAAUGACGUCACGGCGACGCGACGAAGGCUGUCCGAAUUCAAGUACUCAAAAUGUGGCGACAAAUGUGUCCUACUUUGCCCUGAAUUCUAAGGAUGGUCUGAUGUAUCCUUCAUGUCCUACUAUAUCCCAGGAUUCAUUGUGGGUCAUAGAGGAGAUUUGUUUCUGAUAACGAUGGUGGUCGAAGCAGGAGAGGAAAACACUUUCAAAUGUAAGUAUAUGAAAAUCUGGUGAAAAUCCCGCUGCUGUACAGAACCUGUGAUGUCCAGACGGUGUUCCUCUGGUGUUCUGCUGUGAAAACCUUUGGGCUUAGGGAUUAACAUAGUUGCCAUGGUGUCCUUUCUUCUCUUAUUUGUUGUGUGUGAUCAGGACAAUUCUGGAGAAGCUGGGCCUGCAGGGGAAAGUCACCCCCUUGCAGGCCAGAAGACAUGAGAUAACUUUAAAGAAUACAAAGUACAUAUGUGUGUUAUCAAGAAGAUAAUUCUUAAGAACACAAGUUAAUA
ensembl:lncRNA